rnacentral:rRNA from 1 species
GUCGGGAGUCUUGCACAAUGGGGGAAACCCUGAUGCAGCGACGUCGCGUGUGGGAUGAAGUAUUUCGGUAUGUAAACCACUUUUGCGGGGGGCGAAAAAAAUGACGGUACCCCGCGAAUAAGCCCCGGCUAACUACGUGCCAGCAGCCGCGGUAAUACGUAGGGGGCGAGCGUUGCUCGGAUUGACUGGGCGUAAAGCGCGCGUAGGCGGUCCAUUAAGUGUGCGGUGAAAUUCGGAGGCUCAACCUCCGUCCCGCCGCGCAAACUGAUGGUCUUGAGAUUGGGAGGGGGAUGCGGAAUUCCUGGUGUAGCGGUGAAAUGCAUUGAUAUCAGGAGGAACACCGGCGGCGAAAGCGGCAUCCUGGCUUAUAUCUGACGCUGAGGCGCGAAAGCGUGGGUAGCAAACGGGAUUAGAAACCCGAGUAGUCC